AACAAUGACAGAGAGGGCACCUACUCAGAAGAGGAACAAAGUCACUUGUGAUUCUCAAGAGGAUUAUUUGUCCAAGUCUGCAAGGCAGAGGGGAUGUUUGCCUCAAACAAUCAGCUGUAGCCAAGGGGUGUGAAAUGUGACUCAUAACAACACUUGAACUCUGACUCAGCAUACUGCCAGCACGUUAAUGAGAAGAGGGAAGCAUUGCAGCCGCCAUUCCUCCAACACCACAGCCUGAGUCUGCUGCCUUAUAAAUGAUAUGGGCAUUAUUGGUUGCAUGUAUGGACAACUUCCCUUCUAUUGAGCAUGCUUUAAGAAUUUGGUCUUCGUGGGAAACAGAAUGGGAAAUGAUGGAUUAAGAGGAAGAGGCAGAGGCAGAGCAAGAUACUUGACUAUGGAAGAGGAGAAUGCAGUAUGAUUGAAGUGAUGUGGCCACAAGCAAGGAAUGCCAGUCAACUCCAGAAAAUGGAAGAGACAAGGAACAGAUUCUGCCCUGAGCCUCCAGAAGGAACCAGCUCGGCUGCCUCCUGGAUUUUCAGCCCCAGAGUCUUAUUUUGGACUUCUGGCCUCCACAACUAAAUGUCAAGAGCAAACAAUCCAGACAGUUUCUAAGAGUCCCACUCCCGGCGGAGCUCAGUUCCUGACUGUGUGUCCAAGGACGCUAGGCCUGCCAUUCACAUCUUUUCUUCCCAUGCAGUCAUGGAAGCCACGUGACACUGAAGAAUUAAGAGAAAUACUUCAAGCUUUUAAAAUGUUCCCCUUGUUGGGGCUCAGUAAACGACACCCCAAAGUAUGGUGCUUUGGCGUGCUGAGUACUUUGAACUUUAGGAGAUUGGAAGGCCUCGAAGCAGGCUCAGAAGAAAAGUUCUCUCAGACCUCGGGUGCCUUCCUGUGCCCCACCCUCUUUCUUCCCCAACCUAAGUCAUAGAAACCAGAAUUCCUCUUCCCCAAGGUGGGUCAUAGAAGCUAAAACUCCUCUUCCCCAAAGAUGGGCAUAAAACCUAGAAAGGGACUAGGCAUGGUGGCUCAUGCCUACAAUCCCAGCACUGUGAAAGGAUCAAGCAGGUCAAUCACCUGAAGUCAGGAGUUUGAGACUAGCCUGGCCAACAUGGUGAAACCCUGUCUCUACUAAUAAUACAAAAAUUAGCCGGGCGUGGUGGCACACACCUGUAAUCCCAGCUACUCGGGAGGCUGAGGCAGGAGAAUCGCUUGAACCUGAGAGGCGAAGGUUGCAGUGAGCUGAGAUCACACCAUUGCACUCCGUCUGGGUGUCAAGAGCAAAACUCCAUCUCAAAACAAACAAAAACACAAACAAACAAACACACACCUAGCAUGGUUACUCUUUCUUUUCUCCCUUGAAGACUCGUAUUCCAGAGGGUCCUGCCCCACACCUGGGAGAAGGAACACUACACAGAGAGGCCAAGAAGGCUCUUAACAAACAGCCCUUGCUGGGUUCUCCCACUCCAUCUAUUAGCAGUAGAUCAUACUCUUUCAUCUGAUUUUAUUUCUAUACUGUUGCCCAUUCCUCACGGAAGCUAAGCAUAAAAAUAGACGGUUUUCCCUGGGCCAUUGAGUUUUCUUUGUUGAAGUCCCCUGUGUCACUUAAAACUUGACUGAGUAAAUUUGUUAUGCUUUUCUCUUGUUAACUUGCCUUUUGUUAUAGGAG
rnacentral:lncRNA from 1 species